AUGUGGGAAGCGGUACCAGUGAAGAUUCAGGGGGCAACUAGAACUCAUAUAUGCUCAGAUGUUGCUUAUUUGACGAAUUUGAUGUGGUGGCACAGCUGCAGUUUUCCGAUCUCUUAUGCAUUCAGAUGGUUAUUAGUCUUGUGGGAGCACAAAAGACAACUUUGUAUCCUGAUCAUAUUUUUCUACUUCCGAAUUCCACAUGGUCCUCUGAACCGUUUAGUUGUGUUUUCCAGGAUAGUGUGUUCAGUAUGUCUGACUGCCAGGAUUUGCCGAAGGAAACAAAUGAGCAUAGCUGGAUGGAGCUCCAGCAUCUUGAGUUCUUGGUGUUGCACCUGUGAGACUGCAGGUGCUGACAGUCUAAUGCCUUUAGAAUUGGCUCUCAAAAUUUCAACCGAGAUUAGAGCUGGCGAACGAUUUGCAGUUUAUAUAAAGGAACGGAGGGAGUAA
rnacentral:rRNA from 1 species